GUGGACAAUAUACUCCUUCGGCAUGUUAGCCAAUUGCCUGGCUAUGUUCUUCAAUCCUAUCAACCUGAGAACCACAGCACAAAGGUGCAUUAAAAUUAUAGCACUAUUAUCGAAACCUAAAUAAGUUGAACGGUUGAAGAAAAGAAGAAAUGUUGAAAUAAAUAAUCAAAGAUAGCACAAGGAUGGUCGUAAAGAUAAAAAAACAGAUGCACAAGAAAAUGUUGAAGAAAAGAUAUUGGAACCAAACCAUAUGUUCAUCAAUACCAUCAUUUGCAAGACAUAAGAACUUGAGUCUCCCUGCUUCCUCCCGAAACAUUCCAAAUAGG
rnacentral:misc_RNA from 1 species